GACGGGAUAGCUCAAGUGGUAGAGCGCAUGUGUUGCAUGCAAGAGGUCCUGGGUUCAAUUCCCAUUCCCUCU
rnacentral:tRNA from 1 species